rnacentral:lncRNA from 1 species
GCUAUGGCUUGGAAUCCAGCAAACUCCCACCUCGCAUCUCUAUAUUCCAGCAAGCAUCACACUUUGCAUUCCCAGGUUCUGCUAGAGAGGUUCAGUUGUGUUUGUUGUGUUGUUUUCACUUACUUUGUUGUCUUGUGCAGUUCGCAGAUUCUGCUAGAGAGGUUCACUGUCUUCUACGCAUUCCCAAUAUGGACUAUCAUGCAGUACGCCGGUCCAUGGUGUGAGAUUCACUGGGUGCAUGACUGGAGUGCAGUUGACCCUCGUGUGGUGCAGUGCAGUUUGUAGUUUUUUUGUGUCUUUAGAAUUGUAGUGAAUUGCAAUUUGACUGAAUUUAUCCAGUGCAAAAAAAUUGUUAAAUUUGGUAUAGUGGACGACAGUGUGUGUGUGUGUGUGUCAGUGUAGUGCAGUUUGGCUCCAGUCUGGGGCGCUCCUCUGGUGCGGCGUCGGCCAGUUCGGGAGGCAACGGGAAAAAAAACUCGGGUGGUGUAGUUCGCGAGUCUCCCAUCUGCAGUACCCAUGUCUUCAGUAAAUUUGUUUGAAGAGAGACAAAAGAAUGUAGUCCACUCCAUUUGUGUAGCAGCUCGUUACCCCACUGUAUGAAGUGCAAUUUGUUUCGUGUGUCUUAGAAUUCAGUCGACUAUGUCAACACUUGCAGUGCGUUUGACCCUCGAAUGUGGAUUACCUUUACCAGUGAUGCUGUUCACUUGCGCCAAAUAUGAAGUGUGCGAUUUUUUUAAAACAAAACAAGAAGAUAGCAAUGAGGUUCAUUUGCCCUCGUCUCUAUGGUCCACUCUCGUUCAUAAAAAUUGUUGAAAAAAGACAACAAAAACUCGUAUGGGAAAAUUUAUGUCCCACAAAAAAAAUCAUGCAGUGCACUUGUCGGUCUGAUGAAGUGUGGCUUUUAGUCUAAAGAAGUGCACUCCACCUCGUUUGGUAAAAUUUAUGUCCCAUAAAAAAAUCAUGCAAUGCACUUGUCUGUCCAAUGAAGUGCGAUUUUUAGUCAAAAUAAGUGACGUUUUCUGUCUGAUGCAAUACGGCCCGUUUACGGUAUAGUCUCGAGGUUCACUUUUCAUAGUCUUGGGGUUCACCAACACUUGACAUGAAGUGCACUCCACCUUUUGUUUAGGAAAAUUUACGUUCCACAAAAAAGAAAUCAUGAAGUGCACUUGUCGGUCGGAUGAAGUGCGGUUUUUAGUCUGAAAGCAGUGCUGUUUUCUGUCUCAUGCAGUACAUACGACGAUUUUGGGUCGCGAAAAAAUAGAGUGUCCGCAUUUCGUUAAAAUCAAAAUUGCGCUUCAGCCGUAAGGAAUCAGAGAGAGUGUUCUACAUGAAAAAGUUGCGCCUCAUUGAUAUCUUUCUAAUGGCGUAUAAUUCGAAUCAUUUUGACCAUCGGUUUGCAAAAAUUUCGCGAAAAACGGCCGAUGCCUCCCGUCGUCAGCCGCACGAUUUUCAAAAUUAACUAAAAACCAUAAGGAAUCUGAAACAUAUUCCAACAUACGAAAGUUGCGCCUUGUCCAUAGCUUUCCAACGGCGUAUCAUAAUCCUCGUUUCGGCAAAUGGUUCAAAAACUGGAGCUAAAACAGUACCGAAAAUUUGAAAAAAUUCAAAAAAACGUAAUUCCACGAUUUAGUAAAUUUGUAACUGCUCUUAAACUAUAAUGAAUUAGAAAAAAAUAAUAGAUAUGAAAAAGAUGUGCCUCGAUGAUAUCUUUCCAACUGUGUAUCAUUUGCUUUAUUCCGAUGAGCGGUUUAGACAAAAUUGCGAAAAUACGCUUGCUGCCACUCAUCAUUCGCCGCACCAUUUUUGAAACUACUCUUAAACCGCGAGGAAUCUCGAAAAGUGUUCAACAUGAAGAAGUUGCGACUAAUCCAUAGCUUUCCAAUCGUAUAUUAUACGUCUCGUUCCGAUGAACGGUUAGAAAACUAGAGCAAAAACAGUACCGAAAAAACACUGCAUGCAGUUUUUUACGACACGAAGUUCACUAGUGUGUAUUGCAGUGCCCUUGCUACAGAAUGUGCAGUGCACUUGCGUUGAGCGUGCAGUGCGGAAGUAUUAUCAGAAUAGUUGUUAUGCUAAUAUUAGCAGAAUAGACCGGUUGUAUAUAUNNNNNNNNNNNNNNNNNNNNNNNNNNNNNNNNNNNNNNNNNNNNNNNNNNNNNNNNNNNNNNNNNNNNNNNNNNNNNNNNNNNNNNNNNNNNNNNNNNNNNNNNNNNNNNNNNNNNNNNNNNNNNNNNNNNNNNNNNNNNNNNNNNNNNNNNNNNNNNNNNNNNNNNNNNNNNNNNNNNNNNNNNNNNNNNNNNNNNNNNNNNNNNNNNNNNNNNNNNNNNNNNNNNNNNNNNNNNNNNNNNNNNNNNNNNNNNNNNNNNNNNNNNNNNNNNNNNNNNNNNNNNNNNNNNNNNNNNNNNNNNNNNNNNNNNNNNNNNNNNNNNNNNNNNNNNNNNNNNNNNNNNNNNNNNNNNNNNNNNNNNNNNNNNNNUAUAUACGCAUAACAAAAUAUUAUUCUGUUACCCUACUUGAACUGAUAAAUUCAACUGGUUGAACUGAUGAAAUUUGAGCGGUUGAACUGAUGCUUUCUGUUUGUGUUAAAAAUCGUCUUCUUUAGUUCAAUUUUUUUGCAAUUUUUUUGUCGAAACGGGGCAUGUAAUAUAUCGUUGAAAAGCUCUUGACAUCUACAUUACAAUCUUAUAAUUUGUUUUUGCAAAAAAUUAUGGUUUAAGAGCAGUUUUGAAAAAAAUCAUUUUUUUCAAAACCGAAAUCACGAAUCGUAUUUUAGACUUAAUUUUCAAACGGUUUAUCAGAAUUGAGAAAAUGAGACGGCGUUGGAAAGCUUGUGAAAAUCCGCAUCUUCCAUAUAUCUACUAUUUUUUUCAAAUUCUGUAUGAUUUAAAAGUAAUUUGAAAAAUGGUGAAAUCCUGGGCAAAACGUAUUUUCGCUGUCUUUUGCAAACGCUUCGUCGGAUUGACGCAAAUGAUACAUCGUUGGAAAGCUAUGGAAAAUGCGCAACUUUUUUGUAUUGAAAUGUUUAUCUAAUUCCUUAUGGUUUAAAAACAAAUUCGAAUACGGUCAAAUUUGAUUUCGAACGCGAUUUUUUAAAAAAGUUUGUCGAAAUUGGGCAAAUAAUAUACCAUUGGAAAGAUAUUGGAAAUGCGAAACUUAGUCAUGUUGAAUAUUUUCUCAAAUUCGCAAUCGUUGAAGAGUAAUUGUGAGUAUGGUGAGACUCAUCAUGUUGUUUUUUCCGGUCGGAAAACAGAGUACUCGUACUGAUCUAUUUGUGUGUUUGUACUGAGGUAUUUUUCACAGUAGUUUUGAAUGGUUCCGAAAAAAGAGUACUUGAACGGAUACCAGUAUGUUUUUGUACUGAGCGUGUUUUCACGUAGUAGACUUUACUCUGUAUUUUCCGGUAUGAUUUUCCUCGUAACUUCUCAAUGGUUUACGAUAUCAUCGUCCCUGAACUUGCAUGGUUUUAUAUCGUUGAACUGAAUGACAUUUUAUUUAAAGAAAAAUAUUGUGUGUUUCUUUUUUUCAACUCUAACGUUUUUUUCAACAUUGUUUUGGACUUCUCUCAUUCCGUGACUUGAACUUUCACCAUUUGAAUUUCCAUAGGGUUUCUUUUUGUUUGAGCUUUUUCCUAAAACUUAUCUCGGCUUCGUGUUGAACUUAAAACUUUUUAAAUUGUGAACUUAUUGUGUUUUUACAAUUCCAAAGCUAGCAAGUAGUAGGAGAUUUACCCAACAAAGGGGUUAAUUACAUGGAGCAGCCGCAGUAGUACCACAAUCUGAUCGAUAGCUAGCAGCAAUACCAGUGCUCACUAAUACACAUACACAUGAACUGAUAACCAACUUGCGCACGACCUGACAAACAAGAAAAUGCAUUAACUGACAAAAAGAACACAAUACACAUGAACUGAUAAUCCCCACGGCUGAUGACAGAGCUUUGUAGCAUCUAGGUUCACCCAUUUACUAAAAGUAGAACUUCUGAGUUUUAUCAAUUCAGGUGAUGUUUAAAUGCUCACCAUUUUGGCCUACAUCAGAAUACUCACAACACAACAAUAUGUGCUAAAGGUCCUGCAAUUAUAGAGUUACAGAACAAAUUCUUUGUCCAACGACAAUGUAAGAGUCAUGACCAGUAAUCACAAACAACACUAGCUCGACCGCCCAGCAUCUGCGUGCGGCGAGGGGAGGAGAUACUAUGAUGCUAGAUGUGUAGAGACAACAAGCUCACGCAUAGAAGACGAUGGACGACUCAUGCAGGAGGCCUCAAACUGCUCUCCUGUUGCCACCGAUGGCUAUGGAUCAUGCAAAAUCCUGACCAAAAGAUCACAUUUAUUUUCACGAAACUAAUCUCUUGUACUUGCUCUAAGAUAAUCUUCGAACCUCCUACAAGAACAAUCAUCAUUUUAAAGUCCACAUGAAUACCUACAAGAAAUGAUCACAAACAUUUACAGGACAUUCUUUUAAAGAGCUAUGCAAGAAUAAUUAAAAUAGGGUGAAACAAAUAUCAUCUAGAUUCUAGCAACAGCCGUUUUGCAUGAUCAUUGACAUUUGGAAUAGCAUCCAACAACUAUCAGAGUUCCGUAAGACCACAUUUGUACUUACUAUGACGAUGUACUUGUGCUGCGCAAAAACAUACAUGUAAGCACAAAAUAAACAUUUAAAUACAUUGGUGCUCACAUGAAUAGUCACAAACACCUAAAGAGCAUGUUUUUUUCACAUCUUCCCAACUACUCAGUUAGCAGAAUACCACAUCUAUGCAUUUUAAUAGCAGGAGCAAAGAAAGAGAGAGAGAUUGUUGUGAGAGAGUGCCAUUGACGCACACAUAGGACUACCAUCAGCGCUCAACUUGGACGGCUGCCAUCAACCAUGGUGGACGGCUGCCACCAAAAAAACAAAUUGCAAACUACACAACUACGAAUAGGCCAAACCGGUAAGCACAUCAGAAUCAUAAGAAAUCCCACCAGGUACAGGCACACCCUCCUAUUCACAACUCUGAAGUAUUGAUGAACCCUGUUCUCAAAGAUAAUGCCAUAUUGUGGGAUCAUUUAAGUGCACAACUAAGAGCACUAUGAGACAGAAAUAUUGUACAACUACAGCGACAACUGCAAAAAAGUACAACAUUGGUAAAAAAAUAGAUUAUUUGUGACAGCAGGGCAGAUGGCAACUUGGUUAUUCAAGUUCCAAUUGCUUAAAUCAGACCGUUCUAGCUUAGAAUCUAGCUAACACAAAACAAAUCUGAAGCAGUCGGCCUAGCCACACCCCCAACAUAACUAAUUCCACCAGAAGAGCCAUUUGCAACCUACAUGGCCUUCGCUCGACCAAGAUCUUAGCAUUCCUCACACGGGAUCCAGGCACUGGAGCAAGAAGUGACAGCUUGCCAAAGUGUGAGGAGGGGAUCGUCCGGCGGCGUAUCAAGGAGAGAUUGCGGUGGCACGCUGAGACCGUGAUGCGGGUGCCCCUAAACUGAUGUGAAUUUUCUUGCGAAACUGCUAUGCAAUCAUGCAAUGAGUGAGAUACCAUAUAAUAUAAAGUCGAGCUCUCUCUAACACACAUCAAAAUAUAUUUUUACGGUUGUUCUGUAUGAACUAAUGAGAAAAUACACAUUGAACUGAUAAUAAUAUAUUAUUUUCUCAUAUAGGAAACAUGUUCUUCGCCACAAGAACUGAUACUCUAACACACAGAGAAUUGUUUCCAUGCUAAGAACGGAGGAUAAAAUAAAUAGUGAUUUUCUAGGGUCUCAUUGCAACCUUGCUUCCUAUUCAAUUAAGGAUUCAUGUGACACUUGCUUACCCUUUCAUCAGUACUAGUACGACUCAACAAUAAGUUCGGAAUUGUAGACGACAUCCUUGUCAGUACGACUCAUCAAUACUAUAUGGAUGUUAGUCUUAACACUAAGAAUAGUACUGAUCAGUACUAAUAUUUUGUGUAAGUUGUACUGAUCAGUACUGCUACUUGUCGUACUAAUGAGCAGUACUGAUCUAGCUAACACAAAGAUUUUUUUCAUCUAGUGGAUUUUUAACAUUAUAUUAGAAAAAGAAAUCUAGAGCAAUUAUCUUGUAUAACCAACAAACAAAUAUAGCGGAGAAGCUGCAAACACAACCCGCAAUCAUCAACUGAAGUUGUGUUCUUACUCUGACCAAGUUCAGUUUUCUUCAGAAAAAUGGAUGAAAAAUAGCAUUGGCUUUGCCAUCAAUUUUUAGCAUGUAUGGGGACGGACAGGUGAUGAGAGGAUGGACCUUCUAAUGGUGGAGAAGAACUACAAUCUGAGGGGUGGCAGGAGACGUACUAGUGUAGGACGCUGUCGAUGGUGCAGCGUUGUCCAUGGAGAGUCCUUCCAGGUGGCACUCACUAUCUCAAAUCAGAAAAAGACCGAUGACAAUGGUGCGUGAACCAGUACGACGGACGUUGGGCACGAACCAGGACGCCGGCUACCGGAUCGUUAAACGGAUCGAGGGUGCCAUGCACGCAGCCCUUUUGGUGAUCGACGACGGAGCAUGUAGUUGUACUGCCGAGAGGAACAAUCUCGACCCCGCGGCUCCCUCCUGCAGCCGUGGGUGGCGUGUGGGAGGGAGGCGACAAAUGGUGGUGCGGGGAUCUGGAUAUGGCCGGCGGUGCGUGAUUUCGGGGAUGGCCGGCGACGCGUGGACCUGGGGGUGGGCAGCGGCGCGCGGACCCGAGUGUGGGUGGGGCAAGCUGGAGGAAGGAGGACGCCGACAAUGUGGAAGGAGAAGGCUGGUUGGGCGGCGCAGGACGACAACAAACGCAGUGGCGGUGGUGCGUGGGUAGGGAGGGGCGAGCGGCCGGUGGCGAGAGCGCGUGGGGAGGGAGGGGCAGCCGUCCGGCACCGGUAGCGCGCUGGUAGGGAGGGGCGGCCGGCCGGCGGCGGAAGCGCGCGGGUAGGGAGGGGCGAGCGGCCGGCGGCGGCAUCGCGUGGGUAGGGACUAGGAGGGAGUGGUUCGGGGUAGGCUUUGUUUUGUUCUUUUAGUUUUUCCAUUCGGGUGGGGCGGCCGGUCUAUCGAGAUUCAACCGGGCCUAUAUAGGGGCCAAGGGUAACAGCAUAAUAUUCUGUUACCUGUAACAGAAUAGCCCUGUCCUAUAUAUAUAUAUAUAUAUAUAUAUAUAUAUAUAUAUAUAUAUAUAUAUAUAUACUUCUGCACUGCACGCUCAACGCAAGUGCACACCAUUGCUUGAACCAAGUGUGCUGCAGUACUCACGCGAGUGAACUUCCCGUCGCAAAAAACUGCAUGCCGUAUUUUUUGGGUACCCUUUUUGCUCUAGUGUUUUAACCGUUUAUCGGAACGAGGCGUGUAAUAUACCGCUCAAAAGCUAUGGAUUAGGCACAACUUCGCCAUGUUGAAUACUUUUUGAGAAUCCUCACGGUUAAGAGCAGUUUUGAAAAUGGUGCGGCCCACAACGAGUGGCAGCGAACGUUUUUCGUGUUUUUUUCUAAACCGCUCGUCGGAAUGAAGCAAAUGAUACACUGUUGGAUAGAUAUCACCGAGGCGCAUCUUUUUCAUAUACAGUUUUUUCUCUAAGUCAUUACGGUUUAAGAGUAGUUUCAAAUUUACUAAGUCGCGGAAUUCUGUUUUUCAAUUUUUUUUCAAAUUUUCGGUACUGUCCAGUUUUUUAACCGUUUGUCGAAACAAGGUGAUGCGGAGCAUCCCACGCUCAUCCCCAUGUACACUCCGACUACUCCCCAAGCCCCAAGUGGACAUAUGACGAGACCUCGAGCUUACACCAUUGGACCUAAGGUGAACCCGUUCCUAAAUGCUUCCCCUUUCCACUUGUGCGAGACAUGGUUGCUACCUAAUGCAAAGACACUAUGUAUGCUCAGGAACCGAGGACCCCCGGACAUCCGGUGCCCCGCGACGGGCCAAACAUCCGACGCCUGCCCGGAAAUCCGGCGCCCGUUAUCCAGAGAGCAGAAGAAUUGGCCACUCCAGCCCGGACAUCCGGCGUCUAGGGAAGGCCCGGACAUCCGGCCCGACGCCCGGACAUCCGGCCCUCCUGCCUGCGUGCAGCGCAUCUGGGCCGAGUCCCAUGUACCCCUUCGCCCCUUAGACUAUAUAUACUCCCCCACCUCCUCCUAAUUAGGGUUAGCAUUGGUUUAGCUCAUAUUUUGUGUGAGAGCCUUGCUCAUCCACUUGGUUACUUCUCCUCAAAGCUCACGACCUCUUCGGAGAAGAUCCCCCAAGCAAAUUCAAGACCCCUUCAAGGGAAGACAAUCAAGACCUCCUCACGGAGAAGAACGGCUACCUUUGUAUCUUUCCUUUGUUGUUUUUGAAUCAUGUGCUACCUCAUGUGUUCGUGAUCUAGCCCUUGUGUGAUCGAUACUUGUCGGUUGAGUGAUUCUCUCGUUCCUCCCCAUGUUUUCCCCUUUGUGUUUUCCGCGCGUUCUUCUUGUUUCCCCAUAGGAUCCACUCCAAAUGUGAAAGAUCGGUCCCUAGGGUUCCGCCCUACAUCAUCUUGGUAUCAUGAGCCACGUUGAUCACGUUUCUGGAGCCCCUACCCCUCUUUUUCUAGCUUGAUUUUGUUGAUUUCGUCCUAAAACCGAAAAUCCCCACCAAAAAUAGCCCCCAAUUUUGAUUUGUUGGUUUGAUGAUGUUUUGUUGAUUUCGAUCCGUGGAUUUGCUUGGUUUCAAGUGGAUCUAGCUUUCAACCAAGUUUCCCCACAUUCCAUCCACGAAAUCUCUCCAAUUUUGCCCCCGAAAUCAUCAAUUUCCGCCCCAAAAUGGAGUUCCUCGAGUUCAUCCUAGGAUUUGGAGCCCAGACAUCCGGCCCGACCACCGGACAUCCACCCAUUAGCCCGGACAUCCAGCUCCUGGAGUGCAUUUUCGCACAAGUUUCUGGACAUCAGGUCCCGGAAAUCCGGCCCGACCCCCGGAUGUCCGGCCCUGGGAUUUGAACCUUUUCUAUUUCACCGUUUUGACCAUAACUAAUUCAUCCGGAGUCCGUUUUUGACGUUCUUUAGCUUGUUUUGAAGCUAUUGACAUCCCCCAUCCCAAAAAAUACCACCAUCAUCAUUUGACUCCAUCAAAUUUUUGAAAAUUUGGCAAGUUUGCCUAGGGCUUCCACCACAUCAUCCGCAUAGCCACCACCGACUUCCGCAACCUAACCCAUUUUGGUUGCCAUAGCAUUAGUGAUUGCUUGAGUAGUGAUUAGAGUCUCCUAAGGUGUUUUGGCUACUUAGGGACAAUUACUUCUUCAUCAACAACCACCACCACUUUCGCAUAGGCUUGCCCACCAUACACUUCCGCCACCGCAACUUAACCCAUUUUGUUUGUGUUAUGAGUUGUGUCUCCUAAGGUGUUUCGGAUACUUAGGGACGGCAACUUCUACUUUGACACGUGUAUAGCCCGUCAUCCCACUUCCGCAUUGCCAAGUGCAAACCACCACCGCUUUCCGCUACCACCAUUUUGACAUUUGACGUGUGAGAUUUUGAGUUCGCGGUUUUUCCGGUUCCUAAGGUGUUUCGGCUACUUAGGGACGAGUCUCCAUCAUCUUGGUUUCUACAUCAAGAACACCGCUACUCAUCAUCGCCGGACGGUAACCUCCAUAUCAUCUUGGUAUUGUGGUACCCCUCCAUUGUAUAUUCCCCUUGCCAUUGCAUUGUUAACCCCUAGCCCAUUUUGCAUUAUUUGCCUAUCGAGACUAGCCAUUUGAGUAUUGCCGGCGACGUUACUUGUGCACAUUAGUGAUCCAUACUUCCCAUAGAAUACAUACCAUAUCAUCGUGGUGCAUAUAUUGGUAUCAUAUCAUGUGUCACGAGUUUGUUCCCGCAUAUACACAAUUGCUAUCUUGGUUUGUGCAUUGUGCAAAAGUGGCCAUACAAAAAAAGAGAGAAAUAAAGCUUUUAAGCAAAAGAAAGAGAGCAAAGAAGCUUGUAAGCAAGUGCCAUAGCAUCAUACGACAUUGCAUAUAAGAUUGUCAUAUCCGGUCAUCUUGGAUCAUCUUGAGAGAAACACCGGGAACCAUACAUACAUAGCACACUUGGGAUAGAAGUUUAUCCAUUUUGCAUAUCAUAGGUUGUGCACAAGUGUCGUAUCCGCCUAUAGAGCAAUCAUGCUAGCGUCUCUCUUGAAUUGUGCAACACGAGCAUUCUCCGUGGAUUCCACAUUUUGUGCUCAUUCCUUGGUUGCACGACCCCAUUUAUCUAUCCAUGUGUGUGUUUCCGUGAGCCAUUCAUUGCUAUUGGUCUACUUGUUUCGCUUGCGAAUUUGUGAAUCUCUUUCAACAUUAUUGACUCUUGCUAACAUUUUGCAUCAAAUUUUUGUGCCACUAUCCUCACCGAGCUCCACCAUAAGCUUUACUUGUGUAGGUGUGAGAACCGACAAGGAUUGGUACCAAUAGUGCUAUUUCAUUGUCCGCAUUUGAGUGAACUUGAUUCAUCGUCAACAUCGGUGAAGGUACAUUGGUAUAAGUUCUUCUCUUUCUCCCACUCAUAUAUGCUCGAGUCUUGUGAUGGAUAGGCAAGGCAUUUCAUCUCCGAUCUACGACAACAAUGAUGGCAUGGACAACUACAUCAAAAAAGCAUCCAUCUUCGAUCUACAACGACAAAUGCAAGGCGCACAAUCAAGAUUGCGAGAGCGCAUCAAGACCAUCUCCAUCGACAUUUGUCACUCCGAAGCAAGGAAAAGGGACUACAUUGAUAAGAAGCUUUCCGCACAUAAAUAGGAGCAAGAUGCAAGGAUGGAGGAGAUUAGAGCCUUGAUCAAGUCUUCUUCCCCUUCGUCAUCUUCAAGGCGGCGACAUUCAAGCCACAAGUCUUUGGAGUGCGAAAAAGAUGCAAGUGCAAUUCGUCCACGUCCACAUCUUCAUGAUGACCACCGUCACAAUCGUGAUCCACAUCGUCAUGAAGGGCAAGUCACCUCCAAGAAACAUGUGCAUGACGACAACGAACGCCUACGAGCUCAAGCACGACAACGACAUCAUCAUCAUGAAGAUGCUCCACCAGCGCAAAUGCACAAGUCCCAACAAGACCUACUUCACGCCAAGUCAACGCUUCAUGAGCACAAAAGAGACCGCGAGAAGACCACCACCAAGACGGUGCUACAGCUACAACAACCACUUCGGCAUCUUCGCCAAGUGCUAUCAAGGCUUCUUCGCCUUUGGACGUACGACAUCUUCGCCUACUUCCCAUGAGUACGCCUACAACGACUUCAUCAAGUCCAAGGCGACCACCUACGAGCGAGGGCGACACUUCCAUCUUCGGAAGCCCCUCAAGGAAGAUGGCCGAGCAUGGGAAACUCCUUUCGGUCAUGGAGACGAGCUACGAGGUGCCACAUCAUAUGGGCCUCCAACAACAAGACAGCGACAAGAAGGUCGAGCAAGGGCCAUCCCCUUCGACCACGGCGAUAGGAGUUGAGCAUGGAGACAUUUGCACCAACAUCUCUCUGACACCCACAUAUGUUGAGAUGCCCCAUUUAUCAUGUGAGGAGAUCCACCACCACAUGAGUGACAUGAGUGACUCCACCAUAUGUGACAUUGAGAGCAUUCCCUAUGAGAGGAUGAGUGUGACCACCACUAGCCCCACAUAUGAGAGCAUGCCACACAUCCUAUGUGUGGUUGAGAGCCAUUUGAGUGAUUCCACCAACCAUAUGAGUGAGUGCAUUAUUGAGGGAGUGAGUGAGCCACAACACGUAGUGAGUGAGGUAGUUGAGACGGCAUGUGAGGCCACUAUGAUUUCUAACGACUUAACCUCUACUCCUAGUGUGUUUUCUACUUUGGUGAUAGGUCUCCUACAUGACGACAUGCCUAUCCUCGACGACUCCAUACCUCCAAUGGACAAACCGAUGGCGAUGGUGGACGAUGAUGCACCCCCACAUGGUUCCAUCAAGAUGUAGAUGACAACGAGUGGAUCUUCAACACCUCACCGACAACACAUGAGCGAUGCACCAAAGGUAACAUAGGUGAUGGUACUUCUCUUGUCCCACUAGUGGACUAUCUUGACAUCGAUUGCUCCCAUGAUGUUGACACACCUAUUGCCAUGCUUCAUGCUAAUGAGACUUCUUCAUGCCUUGACUUACCUAUUUAUGAUGAAUAUGAUGAUGAGCAUGUUGAGUUGCCUAGUUGUGAUGCUAUGCUCCAUAGGAUAUCAUGUGAAAAUUCUUUUGGUCACAUCAUGUUUGACAAUCCAUUGAACUUGUCAUAUGCUAUGAGUGAGAUCUCCCAUAUUGCAUCAUUUAAAUCUCAACAUAGUAACUAUGCAUGCCCCAUUAAAACAAAUCCCAUUUGCACUUAUGGCAUAGAUGACGAGAUGAUGGUCAGUGGCUUUUGUUUUUCAUGUGAUGAUAUUGCCAUGCUUCCUUUACAUGAUUUGCGCAAUUCAUCUACUAUGCCAUGCCAUGAUCACAUUGCACCAAAUAUGCUUUAUUUUGGAUGUUGUCAAUAUUCUCCAUGUGAUGUUGCUACUCAUGCUCAUGAGGAGACCCCCGUAGUUUCCUCAUACAUAUUAGGAGAUUUUGUUGCAUUCCAUACUUUGUAUGAUUCCCAUGAUAGUGUACACCAUAUGCAUUCCAUGAAUAACAAUGCUCUAGAUAUUUCUCAUGAUGCAUUACAUCCUUUGAGUCUCCAUUAUGACAUACAUAAUAACAAACCUCUCAUGAUGGAUGACAUGUUUCUAUAUCACGCAUCUCAUUUAUUUGAGCAUUGGAUAUUUUGUGCUAACCGACACAUGCCCGUGCGCAUCAUGACGGAUGAUGUGUACAUAUACCAUGCACACACAAUUUUCUCUUUGUCUUUGUUUUGUGUAGGUACUCAUGUAUACUCGUCAACCUCUCAAUCCCAAGAGUUGACAAAACGAGCUCUUGAGAGCAACGAUGCUUUGGGAUCCCGUGGACUAUCCUUACUACCAUUCCCUUCGCGCAAGGACUACGCACAUCUCUUUUACUUGGCUCUCACACGGCUAUGGGCUAUUUACCACUUGUCACCUUAUGCCCAUACUAUCGUGUUCACUUUGCAUGUUAUGCCUCUUUACAUGAUUUUGCCAUGCAACCGUGACCCUUGCUUGCAUAUACCCAUGAUUCACCAUUAUGCUACUUCCAUGUGCAUUUGCAUGCUUGGUGGAGAUCCUUCUUGAUAUUGCCAUGUUUAUCAUGUGCCCCAUGCUAUUGAUGCUUGUUGUGUUGGGAGAGUCAUGAUGCCCCAUUGCUAUUUACAUAUGGCCUCUCGCCAAUACAUUCGUGCCAUUCUACUCAUACAUUGCUUUCAUGCUUGUGAUAUGUCAUGUGCAUUAUUUAUGCCCACUAUUUGCACACAUGACAUGCUUGCCAUUAUUCCCUCUAGUAUGUUGCAUCUUUGCACUACUAGCUUGCUUGACUUGAUCGCUAUGAUUGCUUGCUAUGUUGCAUCACCCAUGUUCCACUACUACUCGCUUUCUUGGGUUGAUGACAUAUAUUUUCAUGCCUCUCACAUGAUAUAUCUUGUUCAUUGUCUCUUGUUUCCAUUAGUUGCCUCUCUCAUAUCCACUUGUAUUGAGUGCAACCAUACUAUGCUUAUUGAUCUUGGAGACUUUGACAACUUACUUGUGAUGCAUGCUUGUUUGAUUGAGCCUCUUGUAUUUGGUUGUUCUUACAUCAUAUGGCUCCAUACUAUGAAAUGCUCCUUUGUCCUUUAUUAUGAUGAGCAUUAUGCAUACACUUGUUGGGUAUAUUACCACCCGAAUGAUAGGUUUUUCAUGUCCGCUAACCUCAUUUGUUUUUCCGAGUGUUUGUCAUGUUAUUUUGUUUUGAAGGAUCCACAAGGCAUUACCGUCAUGAGACAUAUUGGCUAUGUGAAGGCAUACAUGAUGUGCGACACCAACAUUUUCGACAUCCUCAUAAAGGUAAACUCCUUCCCUAUGAGCCAUCCUCAAAUACGCAUAUUGGAUGGGUCAUUCUUUCAUUGUUGUUUCCUUCUUGUUGUCUACAUGAUACAUCUCACGAACGGAGGAGCGACAUUGGAGAUUGGCUCUAUGGACCUUCAAAUUGAGGAGCACUCACACUUAUUGGAUGCACCUUCGAAACUCCACUCAUGCCUAGACAUCGAGCUUUGGUACACCAACACCUCCAUAUUUGUUGAUUGUGCUCAUACAUGUCAUGCUCGAUGGACAUAUCAUAGUCACCACAAGUUUGCACCCCAUGCAUGGAUUGACUCUCAUUAUGCUUGUCUUGUUGCAUCUAUUUCCAUGUCAUCCAUGAUAUAUGAGCUUGUGCACUUCCUUAGAAAAUUUGUUGUGAUCUACCUUGAUGGCAUAUUCAUACAUCAUGAUCAUAUUGCCCACCAUCAAUUGCAUGAUAACAUACAGACGUUGAGCAUCCAUUGCCAUAUUCAUGCUAUUGAUAAACCGUCUCACUAUGACAUCAUUUUGCACCGUGGUUGCAUUGAUCAUAUUUACAACACAUUUGUGUGCACAAUGAUAGCAUUUCCUCCCAUGAAUGCUUUACAUCUCAUUCUACAUCUUUUGGAUAAGCAUCUUGUGCCUUGCCAUGCACUAUCUUGCCGCAUGGACUCAUUCUUACAUGAUGGACAUUUUAUGUGCGCUAACCAUUGUAUUUCUGAGUGUCGCUUGUGCUUGCUCUUUUUGCAUGUCUAUCACCCUGGUGACACCUUGGACUACUUGGAUUGUGCCAUGUCUUCAACUUCGUCUAACUACAAGUCUGUCCACGACAACCGUUUCCAUGGUGAUGAGGAUUACGAUCCGAGGUCAGAUCUUUCCCAAGGGGGGGGGAGAUGAUGCGGAGCAUCCCACGCUCAUCCCCAUGUACACUCCGACUACUCCCCAAGCCCCAAGUGGACAUAUGACGAGACCUCGAGCUUACACCAUUGGACCUAAGGUGAACCCGUUCCUAAAUGCUUCCCCUUUCCACUUGUGCGAAACAUGGUUGCUACCUAAUGCAAAGACACUAUGUAUGCUCAGGAACCGAGGAGACAACCUUGGAGAUACUCGAAGCAUAGGACAAGUCCACACGGAAGUGGAUCAAUAAGUGCCUCAAGUGGAGUUGCCGCGGAGCUACAGCGGCCGGACAUCCGGCAGGAGCCCGGACAUCCGGCGCCACCAACCAGAAGAAGACCAGAGAGAGGCAGAAAUCGGGCGACUCUACAGCGGCCGGACAUCCGGCCGACCCCCGGACAUCCGGCGCCCCGCGAUGGGCCGGACAUCUGGCGCCUGCCUGGAAAUCCGGCGCAUGUUAUCCAGAGAGCAGAAGAAUCGGCCACUCCAGCCCGGACAUCCGACGUAUCGGGAAGGCCCGGACAUUCGGCCCCCCUGCCUGCGUGCAGCGCAUCUGGGUCGAGUCCCAUGUACCCCUUUCGCCCCUUAGACUAUAUAUACUUCCGCACCUCCUCCUAGUUAGGGUUAGCAUUGGUUUAGCUCAUAUUUUGUGUGAGAGCCUUGCUCAUCCACUUGGUUACUUCUCCUCGGAGCUCACGACCUCUUCGGAGAAGAUCCCCCAAGUCGAUUCAAGACCCCUUCAAGGGAAGACAAUCAAGACCUCCUCACGGAGAAGAACGACUACCUUUGUAUCUUUCCUUUGUUGAUUUUGAAUCUUGUGCUACCUCAUGUGUUCGGUGAUCUUGCCCUUGUGUGAUCGAUACUUGUCGGUUGAGUGAUUCUCUCGUUCCUCCCCAUGUUUUCCCCUUUGUGUUUUCCACGCGUUCUUCGUGUUUCCCCGUAGGAUCCACUCCAAACAUGAAAGAUUGGCCCCUAGGGUUCCGCUCUACAUCACAAGGCAUGUAAUAUACCGUUGAAAAGCUAUGGACGAGGAGCAACUUUUAUAUGUUGAAAUGUUUUUGAGAUUCCUUAUGGUUUUUAAGUUAAUUUUGAAAAUCGUGCAGCGGACGACGAGUGGCAGCGGCCGUUUUUUUUUUGAAAUUCUUACAAUCCGCUUGUCGGAGCGAUUCAAACGAUAUGUCGUUGGAAAGAUAUCGACGAGGCGCAACUUUUUCAUGUAGAACACUCUCUCUAAUUCUUUACGGUUUAAGAGGAAUUUUGAAUUUACCAAAAUGCGGACACUCUUUUUUUCGCGACAUCAAAAUCGACGAAUGAGCCGCAUCAGACGAAAAUUGCACUCCUUCAGACUAAAUACCGAACUGCAUUAGACGGGCAAGUGCACUGCAUCGUUUCUUUUGUGAGAUGAAAAUUUUCUCAGACGAAAUUGAACUGCUUCAGACUAAAUACCGCACUGCAUCAGACAGGCAAGUGCACUGCAUAGUUUCUUUUGUCGGAUGAAAAUUUUCUCAGACGAAAAUUGAACUGCUUCACACUAAAUACUGCACUGCAUCAGACGCGCAAGUGCACUGCAUCGUUUCUUCUAUCGGAUGAAAAUUUUCUCACACAAAAAAGUGGACCGCUCUUCACGUGUAAGUAAACCACAACACUAUUGAGAAGUGAACAGCAUUACUAUCAAGAAUGAGCUGCCUUAUCAUCUUUCUUUUAUGGAGCAAACCACCAAACCAUAUAUAAUGAGCUGCAUCAUUAGUCAACAUUUUUUUGUCACACAGUCCUUUUCUCUUCUUCAAUACUUACAACCAACCACAUAGUUUGGCAGAACCAGCUAUAUUGUGUUUCCAACAAUUGCAAACAGAAUUUGCCAGAGCAGCCAGACUACAUGGACGAGACUAGCUAACUUCUUUUAUCCAGGGCAGGAAAAGAGAAGUCUGGAGUGAACCACCAAGUUUAUUAUCGAACUUCAUUUUAUAAAACUUACAAAACAUAGCCCUGCAAAUUUACAUAAAACCCACUCAAAACUAAAUGAAAAAAGAAAUCAAAGGGAGCUGCAUCGUACACCGGUGGAGGACUGCUUUUGCCUGCACAAACAAUUUUGCCCGCUGACGGAUAUAACCUGAAUUUACAACAAAAAAAGUCAUAUGAUAUAACCUGAAUGCUGCACACACUUCUUGAAUCUUUUGCUCAUAAAAUCAUUUAACUAAUUGUCCAUGUAUUCAUGUUAAACCAAAUUCUGUGCACAAGUUCAGAGUAAGCUCAAAAUGCACUGCUCAAACACCAAAUCUCUUGCCUGUCAUAAGCUGCAUGCUGCUGUGAGGAGGAAUCGAGAUGGGAAAGGAAAUACAGGGCACCUGGUCGCCGGGUGGCCGCCAUGCCACCGAGCAGCAGAGGGAGCCGUCGUACACCAAGAAGCAGCAUGAGCCGCCCGGGUGCAGAGGGUAGCGGGCAGCAGCAGGAACUGCCGGGCCUCCGACCAGCAGCAGUAGCCGUCGGGGUGCUGAGCUGCAGUGCCGCUUCGUGUUCCUAGCUGCAUCAGUGCCUCAGUAAGAAUAUUGUAGAUCGUAAAUAGCCCUGCAAAUUUACAAACUGCUUUUGCCCGCACAAACAAUUUUGUGCGCCGACGGACUGCACCGACAAUCGAGACGACCUGCAUCGGGGAGCGACUUGUACUGCAUCAGUGAAGAGCAACACGAGAGGAGCAUAGGUGAAAGAGAGACGGGGCUAUUGUGCAUGCCGGCGUCACUGAACUGCAGGAGGCGUCAAUGUGCACACGACACUAGAGGUUGCAAUGUACUGCACCAAGAGAGAAAAAAGGAUGAACACAAGGUUUGGAAUCCACUCACGAAUCCCGAGGACGCCCGCCUCACAGCACAAAAGUGUACUGCACGGGAGUCGACGAUGGUCGCGUGUGCCUGCUGUGUGGACUGCUCCAGCGGAGCGACAAAAGCUCCCAGAGAGGAAGACCCAGCCGACCUACAUUAGGGAGCAGCCUGGACUGCUUGCCGUCAGUGGAGAAUCGCAAGGAGAGGAGCAUAGGACCGGGGAGGAAAAGGAGGAGGCUAGGGCGUCCCCUCGAUUGAGGCAACACGGAGUCAGGGAGCCUGGAGCUGCAAUCCCGUCAUUCACCAACUACACAGUCUCGCUGGCCAAACUGCACGGGGUCGAAGUAGUGAGAAUGAAGGGAGCCUGGGCGCGUCGGAUUUGGCCGAGAGGUGGAAGCAGCAGUCGUCAGGGUCGCCGUCGAUGGAUCCAUGGCGCGCCGAUGGAUCCGAGGAGGGGACGAGGUAGGGAGGCGGAGGUGGAGGUCGGUCCUCGAAUCCUGUCGCUUGGCGGCGUGGCGGGGCAAGNNNNNNNNNNNNNNNNNNNNNNNNNNNNNNNNNNNNNNNNNNNNNNNNNNNNNNNNNNNNNNNNNNNNNNNNNNNNNNNNNNNNNNNNNNNNNNNNNNNNNNNNNNNNNNNNNNNNNNNNNNNNNNNNNNNNNNNNNNNNNNNNNNNNNNNNNNNNNNNNNNNNNNNNNNNNNNNNNNNNNNNNNNNNNNNNNNNNNNNNNNNNNNNNNNNNNNNNNNNNNNNNNNNNNNNNNNNNNUGUCGCCUGGCAAAGUUGUAGCCGCGGCGGGGUGGGGAGGCGUUGUGGCACGGAGCUGGGGCUGGGGCCGUCGACGUCGGCAGUGGGGGGGAGGCCCAGGUGAGGAUCUGUGCGGCAGUGAGGAAGUGGAUCGGGGCGUGGCCGGGAUGGCGAAGGCGGGGUGGCGUCGCGGUGACUAGUAGUGGAUGGAGGAGGGGAGGUGGGAGGAGCCGGUGGUGGAGGGAGAGAUCCUGCCUUUUUUUUUGAGGUUGUUCGUGUCGGGCUAUCUCGGUGCCGGUGUUAGCAGAAUAAGGUUUUUGUGUGCAGAAUAAGAGUCUUAAGGGUGUUAGCAGAAUAUAUAUAUAUAUAGGACAAUUUUUUCCUACUGCCAGGUGUAGUUACUACAACUUUUGUUUAUACGUUCUAGGUAGUAUCUAUCAUAUCGGAGAGUAUGUACGCAUAGUAUGUAGUAUAUAAGAAUGUUUAGGUAGUAUAUAUACUACUUUGUUGGUAGUAUGUAUCAUAUAUUUUGCAUACUCUAUUUCGCGUAUAAAUAUGUAUGUAUUUCAGAAAUACAAUAAAACUAUGAGCUCACUUGCAAUUUUUUCAUAUAACUCACUUUGGAGUAUCUUAUAUAUAGUAUAUUAACAUAUUAAAAAUAAUAAAAUAGAGUUUAUACUACCACAUGGUAGUAUAUGAGAAAUGGGUGUAGCUACAUUCGGUAGUAGGAUGCAUUUUCCCUAUAUAUAUAUAUAUAUAUAUAUAUAUAUAAUUUAUAUAAAAUAAAAACACACGCGGUUUCAACCAUGUACAAACUACAAAGCAGACGCUACACAAGACAGAAAAGUCGCCUUUUAUACAAAUUAUCUACCUUAGAUAACACACAGUACACACCAUAAACCUAGCUCUUGUCCAAACGCAGGGCUUUAACCAGAAUAUCCCAAUGACUGUUACUGCGUACACGGCUGCGACUGCGACAGGGAAGUAAGCCCAAGGCUUGCAAUCAGAUCUUGUAGCUCAAGUGGCAUGUCUUCAUAAUACAACAUGUUCAAUGGAUUGAACAGCGGCUAGAAAAUGUAUGCCGCCUUCCAAUCUUAAACAAUAGGCUGAAAAAAAUAAAAAAUGCAGAUAAGUGAUUAAAAAGGUUGUGAUAAGAACAACAAAAAGUGAAAACAUUAAAAAACAGUAACAACAAGGACAAACAGAGAAACUAUUACAUCAGAUUUCACCAUUCUAUCGACUAGAUGCAUGUCGUCAUACAACUGCGUCAACCUCAGAACAUAGAUUCCGCACUCGUUUGGCCCCUGCUUUGGCACGGCCGGGCAAUAGGGCUUCUCUGCCAAUUUAACCCAGUCAGGUGAUUCUUAGAGGUAUACAACUUUUCACCAUAAAUCCUCUUCAACAGCUAAGUCAUCCUGCUCAUGUGGCAAAAGGGGGAAAAGCAACACAAAGUAAAAAACACACGUCACAGACCAAUAACCAUCAAACGAUGCAAAUACAAGUUCUUCACAACGUCUAGAUAAUCCCUCUUUUAAUGCAUGUGAGGUCAUUUCGUUUUAUCACUCUCUUUACCCAGGUUUGGCGGUGGGAGAAAUGUAGUUCUGUGCCACAGAUGUUGCAGUAUUAAGAAGUGUGGUCCUAUGUGUACUAAUAAUGUAGUCACUGUGCAGUUUAAAAAUAUAUGCAGUAGGAGAAAUACAAAGCUUUGCAGUUGGCUAAAAACAUGAUAUAUCACUUCAGUGCAAUAAGAGUGGAAGUCGCUCCUGUGCCACUUUGUCGUGUAAUCAGCAUGGCCAGUGUACCUCCUGGUGUCAUGGAUAUCAAUGCUCUCGUGAUGCCAGUUCAUCGUGUAUAGGGCAUAAUGUUUAUGCUUGGAGCGGGGCAUCAAAAUUUGUCGCAUAAAGAAACAAAUGAAAUGAAGUUCAUUCGACACAUAGCAUUAGGACCACUGCUUUAAAUAACUACAAAAAGAAAAUGCAAAAAAGAAAAAAAGAAAUGAUGGAAACAAUGGCCUUACUAGUUUUGCGUCCAACAGGUUUUCAUCGCCAACAGAAACCUUGAACCGCUUAACCGCAUCUUCUAAAACAAAUGGGCUAUGCACAACUGGCAACACAGGGUAUCCUUCAUCAUUUCUCCACACAAUGACUUCGAUUUGAAGAACUUACUGCAUAGAAAAAGAACAAAUGGGACAUGAAGAAAGAAUAAAGAUGCAUGUAUGCAUGGACAUAAAAAAUUCAUAACAAGAGGAAAAAAUGCACCAAAGCAAAAAAUACAUGACAACAGACACAUUUACCGUGAUAAAUAAAGGUGAAAGUAGCACACGUUCCCCAGAAUGACAAACUAAACUCAUUUCAGGAUCUUGCUUCCAGUACUUAAUGAUAUGAUCCAUGAGAUACGAGUCUAUGCAAGCUCCUUUGCCAAAUGUAUUAUAGAUAUAGUCAACUUUGACUAUUUGGACAUCACCAAAAGCAUUAUUCACCCUCAAGAAUGCGUUGCUGCAGUAAAGAUACACAAAUGGGAUCAGAAUAAAGAUUGAAACAAAACACACAAAAAGGAUCAAGGACAGACACAUAAACUUGUUGUAUUUGGUUAUAAAAUCUUGGCUGAGAACGAGAUCCUUUAUUUUCCUCACCUCAUCAAUAUAUUUGAACCUCGGAGGCCUCAAUUUCUCUAAAGUGUCUGUCAACUUAAAAGCCCUCUCACCUGCCCUCUUGUUAGAAAAUACUUGAGCCUCAUCAACGGGGGACGAUUGAUUGCUGCACUCCUAGUCCUAGUGACGCGUGGCACUGGCGUAAUAGAAUCAUCAUCAACAUCAACUACCUCAUGUAGAGCCAGGUCGAGCGACCUUUCCACCAUCAGGUCCAGAUGCCACAUCCAUGUUCAAACCAUCUCCAGCCAAAGAACCAUAAUUCUCUAGAGAGAUUUCAAUGGCACAAUCCUCCGUAACUACCUCUGAACCCUGGGACUCUAAACAGUGAUAUACAAUCUCCAUGAAGACCCCCAUCAAAACCUGAUAACGAGGAGAAAAAACAUGGGAGCACUCAGCCCAAAUACAAAACCAAAAACAUUAAAUGCAGCCCACUAAAAUAAAAAAAUGCAGUUCACUAAAGAACAGAGUGCAUCCCACUUGACUAGAACAAUGUAGCCACUUGCAUAAAACAAUGCAGCUUACUUGCACCGAAUAAUGCAACUCACUGGUCUACAACAAUGAAGCUCACUUACACAACAAUACGUAGCCCUCCACUGUCAAACACACAUUUCACUAGCACACUAAUAAAAUAAAACAUUAAGAAGCGGAAGCAGGCAGUAGACAAAAAUAAAUAAGGCAAAUAAAGCACUUCAUUAACACAACCUUUAUCUGCAAAUAUUAAAAGUGAUGAUAACUCAAGGGAACACUUUGUCGAUGUGAGCCAUCUAUGUAGCAUCGCCUUUCUGAUGUAGCCAAUGUGCUCCACCCCAAACCGAGCAACUCAAACACCAUCCCAAGUUUGCAAGAAUUGAAACACAUAGGUUCCACAAUCAUGCCUGUGAAAAAAGAACCAAAACAUCAGUUUCACAUAAAUAUAAAAGAACAGUUGAGGAGUAUGGUCGAGAGGGGCUACAAGGAACAUACCCAUUUUGUUGAAUUGGGACAACCACAUGUUUCAACGCAAAGCCAUCAAGUGUAGGAGGAUUUAGUGGCUCAUCUGAACUUGAGCUACCUUCUUUCCAUGCAUGCUUGAUAUUUUUAACCAUCCCCCUAAAAACCCUGUUUGCUUUAGAGUUGCCAGGUUUACUGAGCGAGUCAAGAAACUCAAACCGCAUUUCCUUCACAUUCAAGGCAACUACACAAUAAUGGCCAACGCCAUCCCUCGUGUCUGGUGGAUAAGCAAAUAGGACCCAUUGGAAGUAAACGUAAAUAAAAGUAUUACGAGAACAAGAAACAAAACACUGUAAAACCAACACAGAAAAAUGGUUUUAGACACAUAAAACAUUACUUAUCAUAUCUAUUUUAUCGACACAUUCCUCAGCUUUUGAAGAGAACAUCAAUUUCACACCCCUGCCUACACUAGCACCAUUCCAAAUACUUGUCAGCCAAAACAAACCAAAACAAGAAACAGUGUUGAAGCAAACAUGUCAUCACACGAAAACAGAAAAGACAAUCAAAUAACAAAUGAAAAGAUUUGCAUGCUUACAAAAAUAUGGUACAGGACAAACAUCGUCGGAGAUCCCUUAAACUUAUCUACUAGCAAAGAAACCCCUAGAUCUACAAGGCCUGUAGUGAGCAUCCAUUUAUCCCAAAAAGAUUGACCAACUUCAUCAAUGGUAAUAUCGGCCAACUCAGUUUUAAAAGCAAUCAUGUCCCUGAAUAUUUUUGAAAAACUGAAACAUAAGAUACUACAAAAAUAACAAGAACAAAAAGGGAAAAGACUCCGAUUAGAAAAUACAUGUUAACAAAACAAUUUAUAAAAAGCCAUACUUCACCUUUUUGUCCCUUAGAGCCCUAGUAAUAGCAGUGUACAACUCAUUGUAUGUUUUGAGAAGAGCUGGAUUAAUGCUCAACCGUGUCAGAACAAGAAGUUCGUCAUCUGCAAUCAAAAAAUAAGGAACAAAUAAAAUAUGAAGUUCACUUAUGUAAAAUAUGAAGUUCAAUUGUAAGAUAAGAAAAUGUGCUAGCUAGCAACUAUUUUGAAAAUCAUCAACAAAGAAGAAGUUCACUUAUCAUAAAAAAUCUGAUGCAGCUACCAUAGUAAUUAAAAAAUGAAUGAGAAAAACUUCAAUCACUGUUCAAAACUAAACACUUGCCUUCAGUGUUAGAGUCUUCAUGUUGUUUUUCUUCAGAGCUAACCAAAACAUUUUCUCGGCUAGGUUGCGACGAGACCAUGUGACGUCCCCGAUUUAAUUGUACACUAAUCAUACACAGAAAUGUGUACGAUCAAGAUUAGGGACUCACGGGAAGAUAUCACAACACAACUCUAGACACAAAUUAAAAUAAUACAAGCUUUAUAUUACAAGCCAGGGGCCUUGAGGGUUCGAAUACAUCAUCUCGAAUACAAACGAGUCAGGGAAGCAACAAUAUCUUAGUACAGACAUGAGUUAAACAAGUUUGCCUUAAGAAGGCUAGCACAAAAGCAACAUCGAUCGAGAAGGCAAGGCCUCCUGCUUGGGAGCCUCCUAUCUACUCCUGGUCGUCAGCGUCCGUCACGUGGUAGUAGGCACCCUCGGGGUAGUAGCAUCGUCAAAGGUGUCAUCUGGCUCCUGGACUUCGUCAUCUGGCUGUGUCAUCCGAGAAGAAUGGAAAAGGGGGGAAAGAGGAAGCAAAUCAACCGUGAGUAAUCAUCCAAAGUACUUGCAAGCAAGGAUCUACACUAAAUAUGCAUUGGUGUCAAUUGAAAUGGGUUGUAUCUGUGGACUGAACUGUAGAAUGCCAGAAGAUAAGGGGAAAAGCUAGUCCUAUCGAAGACUAGCAUCUUCUGGAAACCACCAUCUUGCAGCAACAUGAGGGAGUAGAGUAGUAUAACAUAAGUCAUAUUUAUGUUGUUGUAUCAACGCUCCGGGAUCCUUUCUCGACUCCCAAAGCAACCUAUCCAAAUCAUGCCUCGGCAUAUAGUUCUAGUUGUAUCGAUCGGGAUACAACUCCAAGUGUCCGUUACCGUAGGACAGGCUAUCGAUAGAUGUUUUCUUCCCUGCAGGGGUGCACCAACUUACCCACCACGCUCGAUUAACUCCGGCCGGAUACACUUUCCUGGGUCAUGCCCGGCCUCGGUCAAACAAUACGCUGCAACCCGACCUAGGCUUAAUAGAGAGGCCAAGCACGCCGGACUAAACAUAUGCCCCCAGGGGUCAUGGGCCAUCGCCCCGGGAACUCCUGCACGUUGCGAACGCGGCCGGUGAGCAGACCUAGCUACCUCCUUCAAAAAGGCAGGUGCUUACCAGUCCAACCCGGCGUGCACCACUAAGUCGCUGACAUCUAUUAAGCUUCGCCUGAUGCAUACGACGCAGAACACCCAUACUAUGCCCACGUGAUGGUUAGUGCUAUCAGGCCAGGGGCCCCUCGGAUCAAAUAUCCAAAUCAUAGUGGAUUAGGAAUGCGCGGUAACAAGGAAAGACUCAUGAAAGAUGUGACCCCGUUGCCCCGUCUCGAGGACUUGCGAUAAGGGCUAGGAAUGCCCGACCACACCUCAUAAUUAUCUUGCAGGCACCCUCCAGGUCAAGCCGUCUCCACAUCACUCGCGGGUACCCCUUAGGGUCGACCUGGCUUUUCAAGUAACAGUUGUAAUGUCCAAGUAUCCGUGUAUCCAAACAUCAAGGGGAAACCCCGAGGAAUCACCCCCGGUGAAUUCCACUCGAUGUAAUCAUCAAGGUGAACGUAAGAGGGACCACCCUCGAGGCACACACUUGAGGGGUUUUAUGACAGAGUCGUAUCGGAAGUGGUUAAAGAGGAAAUCACCCUCGAUGACCACGACCAAAUAGCUACACUACAGGGUUAACAUCAGAAGUGCUGAUGAGGCCUCACCCUCGGCACUCGAUAGUAACCCAGUAGUGUCAAGCAACUAAGGGGAACUGAUGUGCGGUGUUGGGGCCUGGUCUUUGAUCCCGUUGAUCGGGUCUUCGAUGAUGAAGCAGGGGCAACUAGGACAAGGUGGGGGGUCACUGAUGGAUCACUAACCAACCUAUACUAAGCAGUUUAGGAUAAGCAGGUAAGUAACAAUAAGCAUGUUACAAAAGCAGGCUAUGCAUCAGCAUAGGAGCAAACAAUAACAGUAGCAAAAUCUAAUGCAAGCAUGAGAGAAUGGAAUGGGCGAUAUCGAGAUGAUCAAAGGGGGGGGGCUUGCGUGGAAGCUCCGCCUAAAGGGAAGAAGUGUCAUCGUCGACGUAGUCGAUCACAGGGGCGGCAUCGGUCUCGGGGUCUACCGGAGAGAAGAGGGGGAAGAAACAGUAAAUACAGAGCAAACAAGGCAUCACAUGGAAAUACACAGAGCUAGGAGUGUUCUAAUGUAGUGCUGCACGAUACAGGUGAAGGGGGAAUUCAACCGGGAAUGUAUUCCCGGUUCCGGACCUGUGUCAGACAGAGGACCGGAGGGGGAAUGUUCCAUGUUCAAGUAGUUAGAGGCAUCUGACAGGUAAACGGACCGUGUAUUCGGAUUAGUCUCGUUUUUCUAAGUAACUUUCAUGUAGAAAACAUUUUCAUCCGAGUUACGGUUUAUUUUCUAUGAUUAUUCAAAGAUUGAAGGAUUUUCAGAAACUAUUUAAACUAACAAAAAUGGAAUUAUGACGUCAGCAGAGUGUCAGCAUGACAUCAGCAGGUCAACAGAUCAGCUGACCAGGUCAAACCUGACAUGUGGGUCCAGCAGGACCCACAUGUCAGCCUCUAUUAGAAAAACAGUGGAUUAAACUAAUCUUGUAGGAUUAAUUAGGGGUGUGGGCCCCGGGUGUUAGUGAGUGUUUAGGUUAAUCUAAUUAGUCUUAUUUAUAAAACGUUUAUUAGACUAAUUAACAGAAGGGGCCCACAUGUCAGUGACUGGGGGCUGCAUAGUAAACACAGUUGACCGGUCAACAGGCCGGCCGGGCCCCUGGGGCCCAUGGGUCAGAGAACCAGUGGGGUGGCCCCGGGCCGACGACGUCAGCGUGGGCAUCGACGUUUAACCGCCGGUGGCUAUAGCCACGGCGGAGGGUCGGGCGCGCGUCGGAAUCCAUCUAGGGGCGGCCGUUUCGUGAGCGGUUGGCACCAUUUGAACGCGUGGACGACGCCGAGUCGGGUGGUGGUGGUGGCUCACCCGAGGACGGCCGGAGAUGGCGCCGGCGUGGAGCACGGGCGGAGGUGGCCUUCUACGCUCGGCGGAGAUGGUGCUUGAGGACACGGUUCUUCGUGCGGAGUGGCUCUACGGGCGGCAGGUGCUCGCGCGCAUCCAUUGCCGCAGUCGGCAGUAGGCGGGAGGCGACGAGCUCGUCGGAGAAGAGCUCAUGGCAGCGGUCGGAUCACUAGCCCGUCGAGGACGGCGCCAGGAGGAGUGGGAGGGGUAGCGAGCGCGUGCAGCGAGUGCAGGCGGAGGUGCUGAGCAUGACGGGGUGGUCGGCGGCGAGCUCAGCGAGACGUGUCCAUGGCGGCGAGCACCACCGUGGCGACGAUCUCAGACAUGACGAUGGGAGCAGCUACAGGGGAAGAAGAGAAGCGUGAGGAGAGGGGAAAGACGCGUUGGCUCACCGGGAGCCAUAGGGAGGUGGUAGUGUGCUCGGGGAGGCGUGGAGUGUCCGGAAUUGACGGUGACAGACAGCGGCGAUCCGAGGAAGGAGAAGAAGAUGGCGGCGGCAUAGAGGCUUCCCGGCUCGUUCCGUUCGGUGUAGUCGAUGUAGUCGAUGUCGGGUAGGCGUUCAAGCACGUCGACGAGGCGAACAGGAGGCGGUGGCCGCGGAAUCAACGCAGCGAGGGCGGCGAGCCUGCUCGGAGGAGCUCGGGCAGAGGGGAAGAAAGAGCGAGGGAGUGGGAUGGCGAGGGGGGUCUGGGGGAGAGGGAGAGGCGGAGCGGGCGAGGGGAAGUGGGAGUGGCAGUGGAGGAGGGGACCAAGGCAUCGGGAGGCUUAUCCACCUCAACAACGGCGAGCGGGUGCGGUGGGGGCGCGCUCGGCGCGUGCACGGGGUCGAUGGAACAAUAGGGAGGGUAGAGCGACCGGGGAGGGGGCAUGGGCCGGCCUGCUAGGCCAGCUGGCUCGGGUGUCCGAAGCCCAAGUGGGGCAGGGGCUUUCUCUCCCACUCACGUCUUUUUUUUCUUUUAAUUUUUCUUUUGAAAACUUUUCUGUUUUCAUUUAACAAUAGCCUUUUACAUUUUCUUUUGCAAUAAUUACCUUUUGCAAAAAUGUGCCACUGGUGAAAACAAAUACUAGGGGAAGUGGUGCACUGCCACCAUAAGCUUGGGAUUUAUUUGAAUCCAUUUGGAAUUUUCCUAAUUGGAAAGGCAUUUAAAAUGUUGUUUUGCACUGUAAUAAUUGCUUCUGUCCACCUUAGCAUUGUGGUGAAGUUGUUUUCCCUUAACAAUAAAUUGUUUUGGAAUAUUUUCUAAAUGAUGAACAUUUUUCCAGUAACUUUGUGCAACUUGAAAUUUUCAAUUUGAAUUUGAACUAGAUUCAGAGAAGGAAUUUGAAAUGAGAAAUUAAUCCAAUGUGAUUAAGCUUUGUAAAUCAAGAUGACUUGGCAUUGAUCAUAAGGGAUUGCUGUAGUGUGAUGCUGGGGACGCUACGAACCACCACAACCUCACUUGACCGCCCUACUGUAGCAACUGGAUUUUCAAUAGUCCGAUCAACCACCAAUGUCCUCAUAUAAUUCAACUACAUGAGGCUCCACUCUGAAUACAUAAGGAACAUCAUUGGACGCCAGACAAACAGGAAAACCAGCAACACUACCAGCAGGAACGACAUUCUCCAGUGGCUUUUCAGUGUCAAUAUCAGAAUCUUCAUGCCAACUAGGGGCAGCAACAUGGUGGGAUUCCUAAGCUACAUAAAGUUCUGCACUAUCAACGGCAACCGAUAUAGAAGCAUUCACAUUGUCACCACCAACAACAACACAAUCCCCCUGGUUCAUAUCAACACGAACAAUGCCAACCGAUUGACGAACUUCUACGUUUACAUCUCCAGGCUGCAAAAAGUUCUAGAAAGCCACAACAACACAAAAGAGCGAGGGGAGAAUUAACCCAACAACACACAGUUCACUUAUGUCAAAGACUGUAGCCCACAUAUGCAAAAGAACUGCAAUUCACUUAUGUAAGAAGACUGCAACCCACAAAUGUAAAACAACUGCAGUUCACUUAUGUAAAAGACUACAACCCACAUAUGCAAAAAGAACUGCAGUUCACUUAUGUAAAAAGACUGAAGGUCACACAUGUAAAGCUAUGCUGCUCACAUAUGUAAAAAGACUACAACCCACAUAUGCAAAAAGAACCGCAGUUCACUUCUGUCAAGGACUGAAGCUCACACAUGUAAAACUGUGCAGCUCAGAUAUGUAAAAGAAAUGCAUAUGAGUGAACAGAACAGUGUACGUCAAGCUUAUAACAACAACAAAAAAUUAGAUUACAACCCACUAACAGAAAAAGUAACUACACCAAACCUUAUCAGCUACGGCAUCCAGAGGGGAUGACGCAUCAGCCAAGUCAACAUCCUUCUCAGAGCCGUCGUAGGGAUCUUUGUGCACAUCACAAGCAGCAACUCCAGUCUACGGGCAUAGAACAAAGCAAAACGAAAUAAGAUGGUAACGACCAAAAAAGGAAAAAAAAA